GACGAACGCUGGCGGCGUGCUUAACACAUGCAAGUCGAACGGUAAGGCCCUUUCGGGGGUACACGAGUGGCGAACGGGUGAGUAACACGUGGGUGAUCUGCCCUGCACUUUGGGAUAAGUCUGGGAAACUGGGUCUAAUACCGGAUAGGACUACGCGAUGCAUGUCGUGUGGUGGAAAGCUUUUGCGGUGUGGGAUGGGCCCGCGGCCUAUCAGCUUGUUGGUGGGGUGAUGGCCUACCAAGGCGACGACGGGUAGCCGGCCUGAGAGGGUGUCCGGCCACACUGGGACUGAGAUACGGCCCAGACUCCUACGGGAGGCAGCAGUGGGGAAUAUUGCACAAUGGGCGCAAGCCUGAUGCAGCGACGCCGCGUGGGGGAUGACGGCCUUCGGGUUGUAAACCCCUUUCAGCACAGACGAAGCGUAAGUGACGGUAUGUGCAGAAGAAGCACCGGCCAACUACGUG
rnacentral:rRNA from 1 species